UUUAUAUAACUAAACAUUUUACUUUAGUCCCAUUUAAAUGAUGAAUUUUUAUGUCAUGCACCAAUCUGAAAGGUUUUGCUGAAUACUCACCUAUUUUUUAUCUGAUAGUUACAAUCAUAUUAAACUAGCAGUUUAUCUAUGAACAAAAUAUUCAAAGUCGUAUCUUUACAGGUUCAACCUUCAGGAAUACUGAAGUGUGAAUCUUUUGUCAGCUGAAAAACAGUUACUAGGCAUUGAGAUAGUCCAGUUUCCCAUGGAAGAUUGUGAUGAGAUUUAUGUCUAAAAGGUACAACUCGAUCACCACUGCCAACCAAUCUCAUUUGUAAAUAAAUAAAGUUUUAAGUA